UACGAAGGGGGCUAGCGUUGCUCGGAAUCACUGGGCGUAAAGCGCACGUAGGCGGAUUGAUUGAGCAGGGGUGAAAUCCUGGAGCUCAACUCCAGAACGCGUUCUGAUACUGGCGAUCUCGAGUCCGGGAGAGGUGAGUGGAACUGCGAGUGUAGAGGUGAAAUUCGUAGAUAUUCGCAAGAACACCAGUGGCGAAGGCGGCUCACUGGCCCGGUACUGACGCUGAGGUGCGAAAGCGUGGGGAGCAAACAGG
rnacentral:rRNA from 1 species